AAUGAACGCUGGCGGCAGGCCUAACACAUGCAAGUCGAGCGAGCGGCGGACGGGUGAGUAACGUCUGGGAAACUGCCCGAUGGGGGGGGAUUACUACUGGAAACGGUAGCCAAUACCGCAUACCAUCAGAUGUUCCCAGAUGGGCUUAGCUAGAUGGUGGGGUAACGGCUGACCUAGGCGACGAUCCCUAGCUGGUCUGCGCGGGCGACCAGCCACCCUGGAACUGAGACACGGUCCAGACUCCUACGGGAGGCAGCAGUGGGGAAUAUUGCGCAAUGGGCGCAAGCCUGACGAAGCCAUGCCGCGUGUGUGAUGAAGGCCUUCGGGUUGUAAGGCACUGUCAGCGGAGAGGCGGUACCCGCAGAGGAAGCACCGGCUAACUCCGUGCCAGCAGCCGCGGUAAUUC
rnacentral:rRNA from 1 species